UGCUCUGGUGGCGAGUGGCGAACGGGUGAGUAAUAUAUCGGAACGUACCCUAGAGUGGGGGAUAACGUAGCGAAAGUUACGCUAAUACCGCAUACGAUCUAAGGAUGAAAGUGGGGGAUCGCAAGACCUCAUGCUCGUGGAGCGGCCGAUAUCUGAUUAGCUAGUUGGUAGGGUAAAAGCCUACCAAGGCAUCGAUCAGUAGCUGGUCUGAGAGGACGACCAGCCACACUGGAACUGAGACACGGUCCAGACUCCUACGGGAGGCAGCAGUGGGGAAUUUUGGACAAUGGGCGAAAGCCUGAUCCAGCAAUGCCGCGUGAGUGAAGAAGGCCUUCGGGUUGUAAAGCUCUUUUGUCAGGGAAGAAACGGUGAGAGCUAAUAUCUCUUGCUAAUGACGGUACCUGAAGAAUAAGCACCGGCUAACUACGUGCCAGCAGCCGCGGUAAUACGUAGGGUGCAAGCGUUAAUCGGAAUUACUGGGCGUAAAGCGUGCGCAGGCGGUUUUGUAAGUCUGAUGUGAAAUCCCCGGGCUCAACCUGGGAAUUGCAUUGGAGACUGCAAGGCUAGAAUCUGGCAGAGGGGGGGUAGAAUUCCACGUGUAGCAGUGAAAUGCGUAGAUAUGUGGAGGAA
rnacentral:rRNA from 1 species